GAUGAAGAACGCAGCGAAAUGCGAUAAGUAAUGUGAAUUGCAGAAUUCAGUGAAUCAUCGAAUCUUUGAACGCACAUUGCGCCCGCCAUUAUUCUGGCGGGCAUGCCUGUUCGAGCGUCAUUUCAACCAUCAAGCCCUGCUUGCGUUGGGGUCCUGCGGCUGCCCGCAGGCCCUGAAAACCAGUGGCGGGCUCGCUAGUCACACCGAGCGCAGUAAUACAUCUCGCUUUGGGCGUGCGGCGGGUUCUUGCCGUUAAACACCCCCUUUUUACCAAGGUUGACCUCGGAUCAGGUAGGAAUACCCGCUGAACUUAAGCAUAUCAAUAAGCGGAGGA
rnacentral:misc_RNA from 1 species